UACGAAGGGUGCAACCGUUGCUCGGAAUUACUGGGCGUAAAGCGUGCGUAGGUGGUUUGUUAAGUCUGAUGUGAAAGCCCUGGGCUCAACCUGGGAAUUGCAUUGGAUACUGGCAGGCUAGAGUGCGGUAGAGGAUGGCGGAAUUCCCGGUGUAGCAGUGAAAUGCGUAGAGAUCGGGAGGAACAUCUGUGGCGAAGGCGGCCAUCUGGACCAGCACUGACACUGAGGCACGAAAGCGUGGGGAGCAAACAGG
rnacentral:rRNA from 1 species